UACGAGAGGCCCAAACGUUAUUCGGAUUUACUGGGCUUAAAGAGUUCGUAGGCGGCGCAGAAAGUAGGGUGUGAAAGCCCUCGGCUCAACCGAGGAAUUGCGCCCUAAACUACUGUGCUUGAGGAACCUAGAGGUGAGCAGAACUGAUGGUGGAGCGGUGAAAUGCGUUGAUAUCGGAAGGAACGCCGGUGGCGAAAGCGGUCCGCUGGGUCCCCCACUGACGCUGAGGCGCGAAAGCGUGGGGAGCAAACAGG
rnacentral:rRNA from 1 species